rnacentral:rRNA from 1 species
UACGUAGGGUGCGAGCGUUAAUCGGAAUACUGGGCGUAAAGCGUGCGCAGGCGGUCUGUUAAGACCGAUGUGAAAUCCCCGGGCUUAACCUGGGGAACUGCAUUGGUGACUGGCAGGCUUUGAGUGUGGCAGAGGGAGGUAGGAAUUCCACGUGUAGCAGUGAAAUGCGUAGAGAUGUGGAGGAAUACCGAUGGCGAAGGCAGCCUCCUGGGCCAACACUGACGCUCAUGCACGAAAGCUAGGGGAGCAAACAGG